UGGUAUUAGUUAAAACUCUAUAAUUUAAAUGUAUUUUAAAAUUAUCUUCCUGUAAAAUAUAGUUUUUCUUAGCCUCACUGCCUCAUGAAUCAUUACUUCCUGAUCUAUUAAGAGGCACAUAGAUGAGAAAAAUUGGAAUGGAUCUUACCUCUUCAAUCCCUUGCCUCACCUGCUUUUGCUAAUGUGAACUUGAUUGUUAACACAGCAGUUAUAAACACUCAUAUAAUUCCCAUCUUCAGGGGACAAAGUCUUACCUUUUUAAGUCUUUAAAUUUUAAUUUCUGAGUACUGAGCAAAAGCAGUAUUAAAUUUAUCAAUGCAAUAGCUAACAUAAAUAAGACUUUAAUUUCAUGUGAAAUGUCUCUCUGUCCCUGUUCGACAACUCAAAUAACUAUGUAGAAUUCUUGAACAGUGUUUAACAUUUAAAUUUAACAUGUUUUUCACAAAAUGUGUAAAUAUUAUGUACAUACAAUGAUCAUAAUCAGACAUGUUUAGGAAAAGCAAUUUGUUUCCCCUUAGAUAUCACUAAUAGCUCUCUGCUUGUGAUCUAGACUUGUAAUAAUUUUUCCAAGGUUACAGAGGUUCCUUAAAUGAAAGGAAACUGAAAAGAACAUCAAAUGUGAGACCUUCAUAGAGUUCACUGGGAAGAAUGAGCCUUUACCUGCCAAUGCUUUUUAUUAAAAAGAGUGAGACCAUUGUCCUGAGUGCUGAGUUAAUCAGUUAGUAAGUUUUACUUCACUUCAUUGACUCUUAAAAGAUGCCUACUAAGGAGUGUGUAAAAGUGUGUAGAAGCAUUUAGUGGUGGUGAUGGAAGGACAGUUAUUACAACACUGAAGUAAAUUGACUCCAUAUCAAUUCCUGAUAAUUCCUUCAAGUUCCAUUAUAUGAAUCUCUAAGAAAAAAAUCAGUGAAGUGGGGAUGUGAGUAAUGGUCUAAUCAUCUGAGAUUUUAGUGAUCUUUCUUGUAGAAUAAGGGCUCAAAAUGAAACUUAACUUUAGGUUAAGAUAGCUUCAGUUUGUUGC
rnacentral:lncRNA from 1 species